AUUGAACGCUGGCGGCAGGCCUAACACAUGCAAGUCGAGCGGAUGAGGAAAGCUUGCUUUUCGAUUCAGCGGCGGACGGGUGAGUAAUGCCUAGGAAUCUGCCUGUUAGUGGGGGAUAACUCGGGGAAACUCGGGCUAAUACCGCAUACGUCCUACGGGAGAAAGUGGGGGAUCUUCGGACCUCACGCUAACAGAUGAGCCUAGGUCGGGUUAGCUAGUAGGUGAGGUAAUGGCUCACCUAGGCGACGAUCCGUAACUGGUCUGAGAGGAUGGUCAGGCACAAUGGAACAGGGACACGGGCCAGACUCCUACGGGAGGCAGCAGUGGUGAAUAUUGGACAAUGGGCGAAAGCCUGAUCCAGCCAUGCCGCGUGUGUGAAGAAGGUCUUCGGAUUGUAAAGCACUUUAAGUUGGGAGGAAGGGUAUUCACCUAAUACGUGGGUACUUUGACGUUACCAACAGAAUAAGCACCGGCUAACUCUGUGCCAGCCGCCGCGGUAACAC
rnacentral:rRNA from 1 species